rnacentral:lncRNA from 1 species
UGCUACCAAGGCCAAUCCAUGGAUUGGGAACUCCCUGAAGCCUGACAGUGUCCGAUCCCAGCUGGAGACGUCACUGAAGCGGCUGCAGUGUCCCUGAGUGGACCUCUUCUAUCUACAUGCACCUGACCACAGCGCCCCGGUGGAAGAGACACUGCGUGCCUGCCACCAGCUGCACCAGGAGGGCAAGUUCGUGGAGCUUGGCCUCUCCAACUAUGCCGCCUGGGAAGUGGCCGAGAUCUGUACCCUCUGCAAGAGCAACGGCUGGAUCCUGCCCACUGUGUACCAGGGCAUGUACAGCGCCACCACCCGGCAGGUGGAAACGGAGCUCUUCCCCUGCCUCAGGCACUUUGGACUGAGGUUCUAUGCCUACAACCCUCUGGCUGCUUCUGGAAGGAGCACCACUUCGAGGGCAUUGCCCUGGUGGAGAAGGCCCUGCAGGCCGCGUAUGGCGCCAGCGCUCCCAGCAUGACCUCGGCCGCCCUCCGGUGGAUGUACCACCACUCACAGCUGCAGGGUGCCCACGGGGACGCGGUCAUCCUGGGCAUGUCCAGCCUGGAGCAGCUGGAGCAGAACUUGGCAGCGGCAGAGGAAGGGCCCCUGGAGCCGGCUGUCGUGGACGCCUUUAAUCAAGCCUGGCAUUUGUUUGCCCACGAAUGUCCCAACUACUUCAUCUAAGCUCAUUGUGGCUCAGGCUGCCCAAGGCUUUUCUGUCAACUCUUUUGCUCUCUCCCGCUUUGUCUAAUUUAGAACUGCCUCACUAAAUUCUUAGGGAUGGAAGUAUUUGGAAAAAAACCUAACAGUAGAGUCACCACCUAAGGAAGAAUAAAAUCUCCCAGGGUGCUGUGUGUUAGUCUGUUUGCGUUGCUAUAAAAGAAUACCUGAGACUGGGUCAUGUAUAAAGAAAAGAGGUUUCUUUGGCUCACAGUUCUGCAGUCUGUACAAGAGGGUGUGGUGCCGGCAUCUGCUCUUGGUGAGGGCCUCAGGAAGCUUAGAAUCAUGGCAGAAGGGGAAACGGAGCCAGCGUGUCACAUGGUGAGAGAGGGAGCAAGAGACAGACAGGGGAGGAAAUUCACACACUGAUGGUGGGGAUGUAAAAUGGUACAACCAGUUUGGAAAACAGUUUGGCAGUUUCUCAAAGGAUUAAACAUAAAAUUACCAUAGGAUUCAGCAGUUCCACUUGUGGGUAUGUAGCCAAGAGAAAUGAAAACAUAUCUCCCCACAAAAAAACUUGGGUAUGAGAUUUCACAUUAUCAUUGCUCAUAAUAGCCAAUAAGUAAAAACAACCCAAAUGUCCAAGAAUGAAUAAAUGGAUAAACAAAAUAUGGUAUAUUUAUACAACAGACUAUUAUUCGGCC